rnacentral:misc_RNA from 1 species
UACCCUUGACAUGUCUAGAAGUUAUCAGAGAUGGUUUCGUGCUCGAAAGAGAACUAGAACACAGGUGCUGCAUGGCCGUCGUCAGCUCGUGUCGUGAGAUGUUGGGUUAAGUCCCGCAACGAGCGCAACCCUUAUCAUUAGUUGCUACGCAAGGGCACUCUAAUGAGACUGCCGGUGACAAACCGGAGGAAGGUGGGGAUGACGUCAAGGUACGGAC